rnacentral:rRNA from 1 species
GACGAACGCUGGCGGCGUGCUUAACACAUGCAAGUCGAACGGAAAGGCCCUGCUUUUGUGGGGUGCUCGAGUGGCGAACGGGUGAGUAACACGUGAGUAACCUGCCCUUGACUUUGGGAUAACUUCAGGAAACUGGGGCUAAUACCGGAUAGGAGCUCCUGCUGCAUGGUGGGGGUUGGAAAGUUUCGGCGGUUGGGGAUGGACUCGCGGCUUAUCAGCUUGUUGGUGGGGUAGUGGCUUACCAAGGCUUUGACGGGUAGCCGGCCUGAGAGGGUGACCGGCCACAUUGGGACUGAGAUACGGCCCAGACUCCUACGGGAGGCAGCAGUGGGGAAUAUUGCACAAUGGGCGGAAGUCUGAUGCAGCAACGCCGCGUGCGGGAUGACGGCCUUCGGGUUGUAAACCGCUUUCGCCUGUGACGAAGCGUGAGUGACGGUAAUGGGUAAAGAAGCACCGGCUAACUACGUGCCAGCAGCCGCGGUGAUACGUAGGGUGCGAGCGUUGUCCGGAUUUAUUGGGCGUAAAGGGCUCGUAGGUGGUUGAUCGCGUCGGAAGUGUAAUCUUGGGGCUUAACCCUGAGCGUGCUUUCGAUACGGGUUGACUUGAGGAAGGUAGGGGAGAAUGGAAUUCCUGGUGGAGCGGUGGAAUGCGCAGAUAUCAGGAGGAACACCAGUGGCGAAGGCGGUUCUCUGGGCCUUUCCUGACGCUGAGGAGCGAAAGCGUGGGGAGCGAACAGGCUUAGAUACCCUGGUAGUCCACGCUGUAAACGGUGGGUACUAGGUGUGGGGUCCAUUCCACGGGUUCCGUGCCGUAGCUAACGCUUUAAGUACCCCGCCUGGGGAGUACGGCCGCAAGGCUAAAACUCAAAGGAAUUGACGGGGCCCCGCACAAGCGGCGGAGCAUGCGGAUUAAUUCGAUGCAACGCGUAGAACCUUACCUGGGUUUGACAUGGAUCGGGAGCGCUCAGAGAUGGGUGUGCCUCUUUUGGGGUCGGUUCACAGGUGGUGCAUGGCUGUCGUCAGCUCGUGUCGUGAGAUGUUGGGUUAAGUCCCGCAACGAGCGCAACCCUUGUUCACUGUUGCCAGCACGUUAUGGUGGGGACUCAGUGGAGACCGCCGGGGUCAACUCGGAGGAAGGUGGGGAUGACGUCAAGUCAUCAUGCCCCUUAUGUCCAGGGCUUCACGCAUGCUACAAUGGCUGGUACAGAGAGUGGCGAGCCUGUGAGGGUGAGCGAAUCUCGGAAAGCCGGUCUCAGUUCGGAUUGGGGUCUGCAACUCGACCUCAUGAAGUCGGAGUCGCUAGUAAUCGCAGAUCAGCAACGCUGCGGUGAAUACGUUCCCGGG